GAUCAUUGUCGAAACCUGCCCAGCAGAAGGACCGGCGAAC
rnacentral:rRNA from 1 species